rnacentral:rRNA from 1 species
GAGGAAUAUUGGUCAAUGGGCGGAAGCCUGAACCAGCCAUGCCGCGUGCAGGAAGACGGCCCUACGGGUUGUAAACUGCUUUUCCGGGGGAAGAAUAAUCCCGACGUGUCGGGAGACGACGGUACCCCGGGAAUAAGGAUCGGCUAACUCCGUGCCAGCAGCCGCGGUAAUACGGAGGAUCCGAGCGUUAUCCGGAUUUACUGGGUUUAAAGGGUGCGUAGGCGGGCGCUUAAGUCAGCGGUGAAAUGCGGGGGCUCAACCUUCGAACGGCCGUUGAUACUGGGCGCCUUGGAUUCGGUCGAGGCGGGCGGAAUGCGACAUGUAGCGGUGAAAUGCUUAGAUAUGUCGCAGAACGCCGAUUGCGAAGGCAGCUCGCCGGGCCGAUAUUGACGCUGAGGCACGAAAGCGUGGGGAUCGAAC